UAAAUAAAACCUAUAUUUUUAUUUUAAAGUCAAUUUAAAGCAGUCUGACAAAAAAAUUUGAAUAAUAAACCAACUUCCAUGAAUAAUUAAAGAGAAUGUCAAUUUUGAUGCUAAAGUGCCCGGUUUUUAAAAAUUCGAUUAAAGGGACAGUCUAGGCCAAAAUAAACUUUCAUGAUUCAGAUAGAGCAUGCAAUUUUAAACAAUUUUCCAAUUUACUUUUAUCACCAAUUUUGCUUUGUUCUUUUGGUAUUCUUAGUUGAAAGCUUAAUCUAGGAGGUUCAUAUGCUAAUUUCUUAGACCUUGAAGGCAACCUCUUUUCAGAAUGCAUUUGAACAGUUUUUCACCACUAGAGGGUGUUAGUUCACAUAUUUCAUAUAGAUAACACUGUGCUCGUGCACGUGAAGUUAUCUGGGAGCAGGCAGUGAUUGGCUAAACUGCAAGUCUGUCAAAAGAACUGAAAAAAGGGGGCAGUUUGCAGAGGCUUAGAUACAAGAUAAUCACAGAGGUUAAAAGUAUAUUAUUAUAAAAGUGUUAGUUAUGCAAAACUGGGGAAUAGGUAACAAAGGGAUUAUCUAUCUUUUAAAACAAUAACAAUUCUGGUGUAGACUGUCCCUUUAAAAACAGGGGCACUUUAAUUCAUCAAAAUUUACAUUUCACUCGUGUUGUGAAAAAAACUUACCUUUUAAUCUUGACAGCAGCUUCAGCUCCCUCCACCCAUCGCAAAUCCUCUUCCUGGGUCUAAAAUGAGGAAUCCGGCUUCCUCCAAUCACAGCGUUGAAUCAGACACUGAGCACCAACUUCUGCAAGUCUAUUUAACCCGACAAAACUGUUAAACACAUAUUUCAGAAGCCACAGAGAACUGUGAUGUGACCCAAAUGUAUGAUUUCUGCUGAUUUGCUCACUGGCCAUGUCCACUUGGGACUUGCAUUUUUCUGUGGCUCUAAAGGAGUGCUUUAGCUUUGUGUUUAAUCCCUUCGUAGGGGUUAAACACACAGACUUGCAGGGUCAGUAAUGCUUAUAUAUCAUGUUAAAGCACGUUAGUUUUGCAUUAUAAUGGCCAAUAAAUCUCUACUAUAGAAACUAAAAAUAAAGUGACAAACCUAUUGCAUUCAUGUAAAGCUUAAUAUGUCGAUCAUUGGAGGAUACAUUAAUUACAGAUCUUUUCUCGAGUAGCAGUGCACUAUGUCCAGUUGUGCUGAUGUGAAAGGGGUUAAAUACAGUGAGAAAAGCAUUUUAUUUUUACACUAGAUGAAUAUCUUUCAGAAGUACAUGACAGUCAUAAUUAAACAUUUAUGAUUAUUCAGGUAGAGAGGUUGAAAUAAUCUUUUUUUAUUCGAUUUCUGUUAUCACAUGUACCUAUUUAUCUUUAGUAUUCUUUAAUGAAACUCUCCACCUUCCCAUCAGAGCAUACUUAGAUUGGCUAAGUAGGUUGUAAAACAUUGUUGCAAGCACUGCUUUAACCCCUUAGUUACCAGACCAUUUUUCAAUUUUCUUACUGUUGGGGACCAGGACUAUUUUUACAUUUCUGCUGUGUUUGUGUUUAGCUGUAAUUUACCUCUUACUCAUUUACUGUAACCACACAUAUUUUAUACCGUUUUUCUCGCCAUUAAAUGGACUUUCUAAAGAUACCAUUAUUUUUAUCAUAUCAUAUAAUUUACUAUAUUUUUUUUUUAUAAAAUAUGAUGAAAAAAUUGAAAAAACACACUUUUUCUAAAUUUGACCCCCAAAAUCUGUUACACGUCUACAACCACCAAAAAACACCCAUGCUAAAUAGUUUCUAAAUUUUGUCCUGAGUUUAGAAAUACCCAAUGUUUACAUUUUCUUUCUUUUUUUUUUUGCAAGUUAUAAGGCAAUAAGUACAAGUAGCACUUUGCUAUUUCCAAACCAUUUUUAUUUUCACAAUUAGUGCGUUACAUUGUAACACUGAUAUCUGUCAGGAAUCCCUGAAUAACCCUUCACACACACACACACACAUAUAUAUAUAUAUUUUUAUAUAUAUAUAUAUAUAUAUAUAUAUAUAUAUAUAUAUAUAUAUAUUAGACAACCCAAAGUAUUUAUCUAGGCCCAUUUUGGUAUAUUUCAUGCCACCAUUUCACCGCCAAAUGCGAUCAAAUAAAAUAAUAAAAAAAAAUAAAAAAAUAGGUUUCUCACUGAAAUUAUUUACAGCUUGUGCAAUUAUAGCACAAAUGGUUGUAAAUGCUACUCUGGGAUCCCCUUUGUUCAGAAAUAGCUGACAUAUAUGGCUUUGUUUUUUGUAGGACGUACCCUGUACGUCCUUGGUCGUUAAGGGGUUAAUAGGCGUGCAGGGCCGUCUUUAAUAUUGAUUGGACCCUGGGCAAAAAAUUUCUUGGCCCCCCCCCCAUGCAAUUUCGCUCUCCACCCCAACAUCCAAAAAAACAACUAAAUCAUCCACUGCUGGGCUAAUCAUUUUAAAAAAAUUAAAUAAAUUGCAAUAUGUGAAACUGGACCUAAGCAGUACUAAUAAGUAAAGAAAUAUAUAAAUUCCUCCACUGUGGAUUAAUUUAAUAUUCUUUUGAAUGUGAUUCUGGUGUGAGGUUAGCUGGUUAAAGAGAUUUAGGGCAGCCAACAGGAACAAAGCAAGGUAAAGACUGAGGAGGAAGCAUAGAGGUGCAGACAAAUAUAAGUUUACUAACUGGAACAGCAGAACUACUAUGGGAAGCUGUAAAAUCUGAGACAGAGAGAAAACAAAAACUAUAAAAAAUAAACCUUACAAUAAUGUGUGAAGUAUCAGCAUGACACUAUACAUCAGCCACAGCAGUACAUGUCACUUCUUUGCUAGGAACAAGUUCCCUCUCACCCUGCACUAGACAAUGCUGCAUGGGGAGGGGUGUGUGUGCACUCACUUAUUCUUCCCACUGACACCUUUCUACAAAGCACUGUUCCCAUAACAAACUUCAUUUAGUUGAUCUUAGUGGCCAUAGCAGAAAGAGCAGGGCUAAGGGGACCAGCAGACUGGAUGCUGUCUGUCCAAGACUGCAUGGAUACAGUGUGAGAUGAGUUACACAGCCUCAAGACUGAAGAGAGCAGUGUAUGCAGCUGCACAGAUGCUCAAAUCCUCAUGUCCUUGCAGCUCCAGGUUUCUGCUGCAUGCGCCUACAGUCAGCCCUACCCAGAAACAAUCCCCACCACCAGAGCAGUGACCUGGUAACAGUGGUAACCCCAGCAGGACCCUUUCUGAUGCAGUGGGAAUGGCUGGAUGCUGAGUUAGGGCUUUGCAUUCAGUGCUGCACAGUGCACAUCUAAAACAGCACAUGGCACUAGCUUGGCAUGUCACAUGACACCGGCGCGGUCUGGCACAGUUUUAAAAAAAAUAAUAAUAUAUAAACAGAGUAAUUUUGACUGUGACAGUAUUAGGACUGAAUGUGUGUGUUCCCCAUGUCACAUGGUAUGAACCAUUUUUAUUUUUUUUUAGGACUCUUGGGCCCCUCAACAGAAACUGGGCCCUGGGCAGCUGCCCCUUUUGCCCUGUGUUAAAGACGGCCCUGUAGGCGUGCAUAUUUCUAAGCCUACCUAUGUAUGUUGUCAUGAAAUGGAGCUAAGGUCUGGAGUAUAUCUGUUCUACAAUAUAUGAAAUUAUGUUCUAAGGGGUUUUUGUUGAUACUUUAAGACAGUCCUCAAGUAUCCCUAACAGACCAGAUUUUUAUUAUUGCCAAACUAGAGCACAGGUGCAAUAAUCAGGUGAUGGAUGAGAGCAGGAUAGUAACCAUGGUUACUGAUCAGCUGAAUAUUUCACCUGUGCUUUAGUUCAGCUAUAAUGAAAACAAGACCUGUUGGGGGUACUUGAGGACCGCGGUUGAGAAACACUGCUCUAAGGGACAGUACAUGUAAAAUUGUUUUUCCAUUAAUGUAUUUCCAAUGACUUGUUAUACCAGCUGCAGAGUAUUAAAGGUAUGAGAAAUUGCAUUUUCAGGUUUAUUUGUGUAUAUAAAUUAGCUGGUGUUGUGCUUUUAACCCACAGCCUAUUAAAAUGGGUUAAAAAUUAAAGCUAAAUAUUGUUUGCCUGUUAAUUAUCUGAUAAUCUAUGCUAUCAUCUAAAUGUCUAAUUAUCUCUUAAUAUACCAUUAUAAAAUACUUAAAUGACUGUGUGAUUAUUGCCACGCUUACACCUUUUGAAUUCCAAAAGAACACAGGUAACACACACGCAAAGGUUGUGUCAUGUUAGAUGUAUACAGGGAGGGGGGUCAGGAGAGUGUACUGCAGUAUGCAUGUGUUUAAAAAGAAACAAGAAGAGUAUCUGUUCUGCAGUGCCUUUUUUUCUAUCUAUCUAUCUAUCUAUCUAUCUAUCGUUUCUGUAGCACACAUAUAAAUAGGGAGACAAGUGGCAUGUGUAUUUUGCAGUAUACAUGCAUAUAGAUCAUCAAGUAUUAUGCAUUGUAUGUAGCGUUGUUUACACAUUGGUUUUAGAUAACUAUACGAAAAAUGCUUCUGAGAAAAGUUAGUACAUAGGUUGUCUCAUACAAACUGCUCCUCUGGCAAACACAGGUAAGUCACGUGCUUGUUUAGAGUGGUGCAUGAUGUCAUUGGAACUUUGAAUAUGUAGAGUACUGGGUGCAAGGGCAUAAAGCUUACCUGUGUAUGCAAUAGAGGCCACUUGCACAAGAAAAAGUUUUUGUACAGUAAUUGAUUUGCUGGAUGCUGUCUAGGAUACAGGAAAUAGUCUUAGGUUUUAUAUGUAAAAUGCCAUCAUAUGUGUGUGUUAUUAUGUAAUAUGUUUAAUGUGUUUACAAAGGCGCUUGAGAGGUGACAUCAUUACUUUAUAUAAAUAUAUUCAAGGCCCAUAUACAGAGAUUAUAUCAAAAGAAAGAAAAGGAAGCUCCAAUACAAGAACUCUCUUUUCCGAGCCUAUUAGCUGGAGGGGUAGGAAAAAAGUAUAUUAAAGUUUAACUUUUGUGUUAAGAUCAGACCUGUGUGAGACUGCCAUACAAAAGCAAUGUACGAAAUAUAGGUAUAAAGUAAGAUAGAAAGACCCACAAUACAGUAGUAAGAAUACUUCAGCUUCAUAGAAGUCAGAGACACAGUCCCAAAUGUCACCAAGUAUUACUACAGUAGAGUUCCCUGUAUGAAUUACUAUAGCUAGCUGCAAUUAUAUGUGGAACAACUUUCACACAUAUAAAAGCUACCUGUAUUACAUAUAAACUGUUGAACGUAUCAUAUCAAAAGGGGACACAGUCCCAGAAAAUUUAUGCCACAGUUAUGUAAUAUAUUAGGACAGGGAGCUCCAUUAAAUCUAUAAAGAUAGUUAUAAACAGUAUGUGGAACAAAUUUCACACAUACAAGCAGCUCACAUCAGGUAGAGGUCGCCUGAUGCGCAUUUCGCCGUAGCUUUUUCAAAGGGGAACACUUUUGGUUGGCCUUUGAAAAAGCUACGGUGAAAUGCGCACCUAUAUUUUGUACAUUGCUUUUGUUAGCAGUCUCACACAGGUCUGUGCAGUUUUUAAUAUUGUAUGUUUAUUUUUGAUUUAUGUAUAUUUCCGUCACUCACAGUUUUAUAUUAUAACUGAAUAAAAGUUAAAUUUGAAUAUACUUUUUUCCUACCCCUCCACAUAAUUCACCCGCAAGUGAGUGCUUCUAUUGGUGCUUCCUUUUAUAAUUUGAUAUAAUACUGUUGACCAGCACUAAGCACCCUCCACAAUCCUCUUUUUGUGGAUCUAAUAUAGGAAUCCUGUGCUACUACACACAAUAACCUUACAUUUUCCAUAUACAGAAAUGGCAGAAGCUCUGUUUUUCCACUGUAAGAGCAAUAAAAUUGUGGAACUCGUUACCAAAGAAGGUAGUGAAUGCCAAUACCGUAGAUACAUUUCUGGCUGAAACAGAAUUCAGGGAUAUGAUUGCUUGUGUUAAAUGGGUCACAUUUUAAUGGGAUUAAUUUAAGAUUAACUGGAGCUUUUUUGUAAGUAUAUUAGAUUUUUAAAGUUUGAACUCGAUGGACUUCAGUCAUUUUUUCAACCUCAUCUACUAUGUUACUAUGUUACAAAGUAUUGAAUUUUGAUUUAGUCUUUUACACAGAAUGAAAACUGUAAAAAAUGACUAUAAUUUACUACAGACUGACUAAUGCAGGUAUUACAAAUCCAUUUUUUUUAAUGUUUUCAUCUAUAGCAAAGUAUCACCUUUUGUAUCAUAUUAAGUAUCGGUUGUAAUGAGUUCUAAACAUGCAUGGUGAUCUGUGAGGAAUUAUUUAUCUGCUGAUUCUAUUUUCAGACAAAGUCUAAUCUCCUGUGCACAGGUAUCAGUUACAGAAAGAACAGGAGAUAAUAAAGGCCCACAGAGACGGGAAGAACCACAGCUAGGGUUUAAAAGACGCUAUGGGAAGUAAGGAGACUGUGGCAAGUAAAGCUAAUCAGUGCUUUGACAAAUCAACUGGAAAUAGAGAACUAAAGUUUAAAGGGACAUCAAACUCAGUGUCUUUACCUAAAAAAUAAUUUAAAUUACUGGAAAAGUUCAAAAAGAAUGCGCUAUAAUGUUAUAUAGUAUUUUAUUACACUAUUGCUUGCAUACAACACCUGCAAAUGGGUUAAACACAUAGGUAAAGUCAGCUACAGAGUCGCAGUGUAAUACUGGGAGCUAGCUAACACAGCUGGUGAGCCAAUGACAAUAGACACAUUUGUGUAGCCACCAAUCACUAACUAGGUCCCAGUCGUGCAUUGUUUCUCCUAAGCCUAUUUAGGUGUGUGUUUUUUUAACAAGGGAUACCAAGAGAACUAAGUAAAAAUAAUAGAAGUAAAUUGAAAAGUCUUUUGAUUUUGCUCUGUCUGUGCAAUGAAUGUAUAAGCAUGACUUACAUGUCCCUUUAAAUUAAACAUUAUUUAAAUAAAAUACAUUAUUAUUUUAUUUUUACAUUUAGUUUGAUUUGGGUGCAAAAUAUUACCUUUGCUGUAAAAAUUGUGCUUGUUCCAAGCUUCCUAAAGAAAUUCUGCAACCUAUUGUUCUGCUAAUUGGGGAACCAGCUGACUGCUUUGAACAGGUGGUGUCAAACCUUUUCAGUACAGGGCCAUAUUUAGGCUUAGUAUGCCAAGGAGCAAAUUCCCAUAAUAUUUACGUAGGUACUUUAUAACACAUUUUUAUCAUUUUUUUUUAAAGCCAAAAAUCUAAAUAAAUAUAACAAGCAAAUGAGCCACGCAGAAAAUUAGUUUGGUUGCAGCCUCAUUUUCAUUUUUUUAUUUUUGUGAAGAAAUUUUUCUGUGAUGGGAUUCCUUUUCCGUUUGUUUCCUUUGAGUUUGGAAUAUUGUGCAGAUGUAUAUUGUAGUGCACGAGCAGUAGUGCAAAAACAAUGAGAGCGCCACAUAGGUCUUUAUUGCGUCUACUCAACUCUGCUGUUGCAGCACAAAAGCAGCCAUAGACCAUACAAAAGUGAAUAAGGGGUCAAUUUAUCAAGCUCCGUACGGAGCUUGAUGCCUCAUGUUUCCGGCAAGCCUUCUAAAGACCGCUGCUCCAUUUCGUGUCCGCCUGCUCUGAGGUGGCGGACAGAAAUCAAAUAUGAUCGGGUUGAUUGACACCCCCUAAUCUGCAGGGGCGUAUUGCACCAGCAGUUUAGCAGAACUGCUGGUGCAAUGAUAAAUGCUGACAGCGUAUGCUGUCGGCAUUUAUCGAUGUGCAGCGGACAUGAUACACUACAUCGUAUCAUGUCCGCUCGCACAUUAAUAAAUUGACCUCUAAGAGUGGUUGUGCUCCAAUAAAACCUACUAAAUGUGAAUUUCAUAUAAUUUUCAUGAAUAUUUUUUCCCAUGCAGUUAAAAAUGUAAAAAACAUUCCUAGCUAGUGGCCGUACAAAAACAGCUGCCAGCCGGAUUUGGCACCUGGGUAGUAAUUUAGUACAUAUUUUUUCCCAUUACCUAGUGCUGAAGACUUAUUGCAAUGUUUGAAAGAGUUAAAAAUUACAGAGCACAUUUAAUAUGUAAAUACUUUAUUAUGCUACAAAGCCAUGUGCCACACUUUACUAUAACUUUAACUCACCAAGGUUUCCAAGCAUUGUUUACACAAUGUGCACAAUUUGUAAAACAUUUAUUUUUGUAUGUCGAUUUUUUUUAAAAAAUGUUUUUGCAGUUCCACAUUUCAAGGGACACAAAACCCAUUUUUUUUAUUUCAUUUGAAACAACUUUUCAAUUUAGGGCUAGAUUACAAGUGGAGUGUAAUUUAUUGUGCGCCAAUACAAUUGGCUGGUUAUUGCUACCGCAAGCUCAGAUCUCUGGUUAACUUUAUAAAUGUGCCCUAAAUGCCCCCAAAAUACAGUGGUGUGUAUUAUAUUAAAAAUAAAAAUUGUAGCAUUUUUAUUUUUUAAUAAAAUAACUGCACCAGACAGUUUUUGGGGACUAAAGUUGGCAGGUGUGGGUUGUUAGAAAAAGAACGGCACUGAAAAGUGUCUUUACAUUGCGAUCUAUGGGAACCGUGUGUUCCCUUUAAAUAUAUAUAUAUAUAUAUAUAUAUAUAUCGCUUAUAUGCACAGACAUUUAUGUGUUAAUAUGUGUAUAUACGCAUAUUAACACAUAAAUAUAUAUAUAUGUAUAUAAUCAUAUGCAUACUGUAUAUAUUUACAAUCUGCUGCCCAUCGCUGCGCUACGUUUCACAUAACGGGAUAUUUAGCGCUCCACUUGUAAUUUGACCCUUAGUUUGGUUAUAUAAUUUACUUCAUUCUCAUGGUCUCUUUAGUUCACUGGUUUUCAAACCUGUCCUUAGGUCUCACUAACAGGCCAGAUUUUGAGGAUAUGUGAUCUAGAGCAAAGGUUAAAUAAUCAGGUGAUCCUAAAAAUCUGGCCUGUUGGGGAGACCUAAUUACAGGUUUGAAAACCAGUGCCUUCAUUUGCGUUCUUAUUGCCAUAUAUUGCUCUUGAUACAUGCAUGCUUCAUAGCCUACCUACCUGCUUUUCAGCAAAGGGUAACAAAAGAACAAAGUAAAUUGUCCUUUAUUUUUAAUUUAACUUUUUUCAGUCAACAAAUAUGCUACUUGUAAUUUUUAGCUGUAUAGUUUGAUGUAAGCACAUUUAUUUUCUCAUGUCUAUGUAUUUAAAAAAAUAAAUAGCCAGAAAAAAAAACUGCUGAGUCUGAGCAAGACAGAUAUCUUAUGUAGUAUUAUCAUAUCUUAGUGACUCAGUAUAUAUCUAUUUGUGUGAUGUAGUGGUCUAGUGCAGUGUUUCACAAACUGUUCUUCUUUGGGGUGUUUUGUGUAAUUAGGGGUUACACAAUAAAAUAGACCCAAAUUAAAAAGCUGAAUAGUACCCAGUUAUAUAGUGAGUAUGGGAACUGUGCAGUACUGGAUACAGUUGGCAAGUUUUGUAUUCAAUUGAACAGAAUUUCAGACAGAUGCCUGUAUAGCGUAUACUUUAAAAUACAGGUAGCCCUCAGUUUACGCCGGGGUUAGGUUCCAGAAGGAAUGGUUGUAAAUCAAAACUGUUGUAUAUUGAAAGUUUAUAAUGUAAGUCAAUGGGAAGCGAGGGAGAUAGGUUCCAGGCCCCUCUCAAAAUUGUCAGAAGUAACACCUAAUACAUUUAUUUUUAAAGCUUUGAAAUUAAGACUUUAAAUGCUAAACAGCAUUAUAAACCUAAUAAAAUAAUCACACAACACAGACUUCACUUGCAUUUUUCUGCAAACAGUUUUUUCUAUGCAUUCCAAUCUGGACUGAUUUAUAGACCGUAAGAUCUUGUUACUUUGAAAUCUGCUCGAUAGCUCAGGUCUGGUUAAACUGAUUAAUUUCAGCUUGCUUGGCUUUGCUGCAACACAAGCGGACAGCUCCACCUACUGGCUAUUUUAAUAAAUGCACUGCUUCUCAAUGCUUUUCAAUAGCAGUCACAUAACUGGAAAAAAAGGUUGGUAUUCUGAAACGGUGUAAAUUGAACCGUUGUAAAACAAGGGCCACCUGUAUAUGCUUAUAUAAAAUACUUUUUUUUAUAUUGCCUUUGUACAGCACAUAGAGCAAGGGGAUGAGAUGGCACUUGGUAAUGCUUAUUUUCACGUCAUGCAGAGCAUGCUGCUUGUUAGGUUUCUGCCUGGCUAGCAGUUCUUUUCCUCUCACUCUCUUUCUAGAGAAAUGGUCCAUGUGCGGUGCUUGAAAGACAGAACAUGCAUUUUAUUUAUAGCUAUACAUAAUGCAGGUUGUCAGUAGUAGAAUACAAUAUACUUAGUCUAAAACAUUCUAACAUUAGGUAUGAGACAGCAAAAUUACUUUGAAGAUCUUUCUCAAUAGUUUUUCAUCUAGAGCAGAGUUCACCUGUGUCCCCUCUGGUGCUGUUUAUCUGGCUAUCUACCCUUGCUCACCUACCUUUGCCCAUUGGCAACACAGUGGUCCACUUCUCUAUACUCAUUCAUUUUCUCUGUGUUUGUGCAUUUAUAGUUAUUAUGCAAAAAAAUCCAGAGUUGCCAACCAGAAGGACCACAAUUUUGUACAAUUGUCACAGUAUAGGAGCUCUGCCUUGAUAUCUUACUGCAAUCCCUUAAAUAUAAUGACGUCUGACAUGCUCAAACCUUGCCCAAUGUCUCCAUAACGUAUAGCCUGUUUUUAAAAAUGUUGCCUGCACUUACGUUUAUAAAGAACUUUGUUGUUGAUAAGAGUUACAUUUAUAUGUGAUAUAAACUAUUGCAUUAGUGUAAAGAGGGAAAAAAGUGUCAGUGAUCUGGAAAAAAAAAGUGUCAGCACGUUAGAUUGUUGUCUAUGGUACUAUAUAACUGAAAGGGUUAUUAAAGAGACAUGAACGUCAGAAAUACAUUUUAAUUCUGUUAGCAAAUGUAUAUAUUUCUCUUGAUACCCUCUGUUAAAACGUUGCUCCUUUCCAUUAGAACAUAGUAAAGGAGCACUAAAUACAGUGGAAUUGCAUAAUUAACAAGUGCAUAAUAAAAAGCCAAUGAAAUAACACUUACUCUGAAUUUCACAAAAGCAGUAUAUUUUUUUCUUCUGACAAUUUUUUUUCUCCUAUUUGCCAGCACCCUGUACCAUGUAACAGACAUCAGCCAAUCACAGACUAGUAUGCGUAUACCAUGUGAGCUUGUGCACAUGCUCAGUAGUAGCUGGUGACUCAAAAAAUAUGCAUAUAAAAAGUCUGUGCAAAAUUGAUAAUGGAAGUCAAUUUUAAAAAAACUUAAACUGGUUAUUGAAUUAUAAAAGUUUAAUUUUCACUUGUGUUUCCUUUUAAAAUAGGUGCAUGCAUGUGUCUUGAGCACUAUUUGGGAGCUAUGUUUGCAACAUACUACUACUUAGGUAUGUUCUCAUAGAAAGAAAGGAUAUUAAAUAAUGGUUUCAAUAAAGAGUUGAAUUGCAAACAAACCAAAGUCUGGGAACUACCAGCCUGGUCAAGUGGAUAGCAAACAUAAAAAAAAGCAACAGAGAAGAAAUUAGAUAGAUUUUCUCAAGUAAUUAUUACUGCAGCUGCUAAAAAGAUCUUUAGUGAGUAUAAUAUUACAAUGCUUAUUGUUUGGAACAGACACAGGUAAAUGACAAACAAAUUAAUUUGACAGACACUGGUUAAAGGCAGGCCCUCCCACAAUAUAUCUUUGGAUUAGAUCAGUCCUGAAGUUCUUCGUCUUGUCACAUAUCCACUAUCACAUUUCUCUUCUGUAAAGAGCUCCCUGAAACUUUAAUGAGGUCACCCGACACAUGUAGGCAGUAGCCAAUGGGUGCCAAGGAGCCCUGCACCUGAGAAACUGAGCACACCCAAGGCACUUUAUACAUCAUUAAAACCCACUGGAUAUUGGGAGAGGCAGUUUUUUUUUUUGCUUUGCACAUUGAGUAAUAUUCUUCUUAUCUGGAGACACUUAACAUCUAACUUAAGCCCCUGAGCUCAUCUUCUCUACCUUUACAUUUGAGAUCACCACUGUUUUUCACCAUGAGUCAGGGAUUCUGGAGAGUUUAUAAAGCAAAAGUUCUACAGACAUUCAAUACAGAACAGGAGACAGAAUACCAAGAGGAGGUAAGUGGCAUUAAACGUUAAUAUCAAAUUUUAGACCUUUUAGGCAAGGGUUUAUAGACAGAAGUUUUAUACAGGAAGAUGUGGCUAUAUAUGAGAUGUAGACCUAGAAUAAGCUAAUACUAAGACAUAAGAAGUCAUAUGAAGGAAGAUGGGGCUAGGGGGUAUAUUUAUUAAAGUGCAGACGGACAUGAUACAAUGUAGCGCAUCAUGUCCGCCACACAUCGAUAAAUACCAACAGCAUACACUGUCGGCAUUUAUCAUUGCAGCAGCUAGCAGGGGGUGUCAAUCAACCCGAUCGUAUUCCAUCGGGUUGAUUUCUGUCCGCGGCCUCAGAGCAGGCGGACAACUUAUGGAGCAGUGGUCUUUAGACCGCUGCUUCAUAACUUCUGUUUCCAGCGAGCCUGAAGGCUCGUGCGGAAACAGGGGCAUCAAGCUCCAUACGGAGCUUGAUUAAUCAGCCCCUAUAUAUGAGAGGUGUGUGUGUGUGUAUAUAUAUAUAUAUAUAUAUAUAUAUAUAUAUAUAUAUAUAUAUAUACGCAUAUAUAGUGUAAAAGAAUAGACAGAGAAGGUAAGUAUAAAUAAGCCAUAGCAAAAUUAACAAAGGAGAGUGAAAAGUGGAAUGCACAUAGAAAAAGGAACAGAGAGGAAGAUAAGCAAAGAGACAUUGAGUAAGAGGUUUAGAUGGAAUGUGGAUGGAAAAGCAAAUGGGUAAUACAUGGUGAAGAGUGAUACAGAUAAGCAUGUGGUGUUCAUAAUAGGGGAACCUUAGAUGAGAGCAAAGGGUAGCAAUGAGAAGGAAAUGGGUAUGGUUACAAACUAGAGAAUGUAUAGAAGGAAGUGAAACGAAGAUGCAAUAAGGAUUAAAGACAUUUUAGGGGAGGUAGAGAACAUAGUAAAAAAAGAUAGCUAGUAAUAAAGGAGUUUGAUAUUUUGAGCAAAGCAGUUGAAAGUUAGGUGGUUUGCUUAGAUGGGAUAAGGCUAGAUUAGUGACAGAAGGGGUGUAUUGUGAUAGUACCACAUUAAAGGACAUAUGAUAUCAUGUAUUUAUAUUAUACUACUGUAUUUUUCCCACAGAGUGACACCGCAGAAAUGAUAGAGCCAGAAAAUCCAGAUGUGGGAGAUGAGGGGCUAAAUAUGUCACAACUUGCACGUAAGGGUGAUCGUGUGUGACGUGUUGUUAUCCCCAGGUUCAAGGAUCAUUGGGCUGGAGAAGCGUUACAUCCCUAUUUAGUAAAGAAGAGGAUCAAAGAACAGAGGAAAGACAAGAGCAUGAGGAAGACCAGCCCCCUGUUCAGCUACCUUCAGACACAACACCAGAGAGGACUUCAUCUUCAGC